rnacentral:rRNA from 1 species
UUGACCUCAAAUCAGGUAGGACUACCCGCUGAACUUAAGCAUAUCAAUAAGCGGAGGAAAAGAAACUAACAAGGAUUCCCCUAGUAACUGCGAGUGAAGCGGGAAAAGCUCAAAUUU